rnacentral:rRNA from 1 species
GCUUAACGCGAAGAACCUUACCAAGGCUUGACACGGAUUUCUAAGCACGUGAAAGCGUGUGACCCUUCGGGGGACUUCCACAGGUGCUGCAUGGCCGUCGUCAGCUCGUGUCGUGAGAUGUUGGGUUAAGUCCCGCAACGAGCGCAACCCCUGUGAACUGUUGCCAGCACGUUAUGGUGGGGACUCUGUUCAGACUGCCCAGAUCAACUGGGAGGAAGGUGGGGACGACGUCAGGUCAGUAUGGCCCUUACGCCUUGGGCUGCACACGUACUACAAUGCCCAGCACAAUGGGAACCGAGACCGCGAGGUGGAGGAAAUCUACAAAACUGGGCCCAGUUCGGAUUGGAGGCUGCAACUCGCCUCCAUGAAGCCGGAAUCGCUAGUAAUGCUGCAUCAGCUACGGCAGCGUGAAUACGUUCCCGGGUCUUGUACACACCG